rnacentral:misc_RNA from 1 species
UUUCCGUAGGUGAACCUGCGGAAGGAUCAUUAUUGAAUAAACGUUCAGCACGGGCUGUCGCUGAGCCCAAUUGUCGUGCCCGCCCGAGUGCACUCACACACAUCCAUCCCACCCCUAGGUGCCCCACCGCGUGGGUCCCCCUCUGCCUCGUUCGGGGGGCGGCUUACGUCUGCACACAAACUUUGUAUGCAGCGUAGAAUGUAUUCGUUCUUUUUGCGAACACACAAUAAAUACAACUUUCAACAACGGAUCUCUUGGCUCUG